rnacentral:lncRNA from 1 species
AACACAAAUAUUCGGAAAUAACAUCGUCCUGCUUGCAGGCUUCGACCCUGAUUGUUUCCAACUUUAACGAAAGUGAUUACAAUCAGACGUACAAAUGUGGUAUCGCAAUUAUUAAACAGUCUGGACGUUCGUUCGCAGAAAAUAUCAAGGACAAGAUCACUUUUGAAAAUAUAUCAUAUGAAUGUAAGUAUAUGUAUAUUAUUUUUUUUAACUAUUUACUUUAUUUGGUUAGUUUAUGCCACUUUAUAUUUUACAGAUACAUGAAAUAGAUUACGACAAAUAUCAUUCAGUGUAACCUGUAUAAAUAUGUAGGAUAUGGAGUUGGUCAAUUUGGACAAUGGGUCGGUUUUACCUAGGUUUACGUAUGAUCAGGAAGUUAUUGGAUUUUGACGACAGACAUUUUGCAUGUAAAAGUUGUGAACUACUAAAAACUAAUACCAUAAUAAUCUAUCUAAUAAAAGUUUUUUUUUAUGAUUUGCGUGAGAUUAGUGAGAACAUUGGCUUAUUAGACAUCUGUUGUACCGUUCGUUGUAUAUCCGCGUAAGUGAAAUAGUCCUCGGUAACAUCAGUCUCUAAUGCAUACGUUUUCUAUAAAUUGGAAUUCAUUGUUUUAAUUUGCAUCAGAAAUUCCGCGUUGUUUGAAUUGUUGAACGAAAGUUUCUUUUUACUUAGUCGUUUGUUUCCUACGUUGGAAAAGCUAAACUGAAAUCAAAAUUUCAUCUUGGUCGAAACACUGUCGAAACUUGUUCGAUAUCUACUAACAAGAUAAAAGAAGGACAUAAUUUGGGUCUUUUCCUUAAUCAUGGAAACGUGUGUCAGGGUUUACAAUGAGUCAAGCAUUUCCUACAAAGCUGAGAAGGCUCAUCUAUAUUUCAGAAUUCAGCAUUCAGAAUUCGGCAUUAAGAAUUUGGAAUUCAGUUUUUAAAAUGUUAUAAACUUAGUUAUUAUUGUUUAAGUCACUAUUUGUUGUUAUUGUGGUAUGAAAUUUAAAUGCAUGUCUUCAUGUUCACUACUCCACCUUCUAAAAAAAAGUUAAUAUUGAUGGUUUGUUCAUAAGCUAUUGAGGAGGGUUUGCUUUCGUCUAAUAUUUGCUCUUUCGCUGGUUUGGUAUAGAAUACUGUGAAAGUACUCUUAUUCGUUGGGUACCAGUUUUCGUGAUUUUCGAGGAUGUCUUUAUCCACGAAUUAAAGUGUCCAACGAAAUAAAAUAACCGUUGUCAAAAUCAAGACAUGGAAAGAUCCCCUAUCGGUAGGUUUGACCACGGAUAUGAUCUAGAGAAUAUAUUGAAUAACGCCAAACCUGAGAAUACUUUAAUAGCAGUCACAGAACUACAACCGCAUGAAGGAUUAUACCCAUUUCAUCUUUAAUAACCUAAACUGUACAACUUUUGAUCCUUUAAUUCUCAUAAAAAAUAUUUUUGAUCGAUGAAAGUCAGAUUUCCGGUAUUGAUAUGCUAGUAUGAUAAAGUGUUCAUUUUAUAUCCUCAUAGUUCUCGUACAUAUGGAAAAUAAUAAUUUCAAGCUGGGUUUGAUUUUGAUAAGAAUUAUUUGACAAUUCAAGAUACGUUUAUAGCAUUUGUUUAUGUUACUAUUUUCAAUAGGUGACAUGUUUAUGGCCUAAUUAACACCUUUGAUGGUCUUUAAUCUGUUGAUCACUUUAUCAUUUUUUUUUAGAAAACUUAAAUCCACGAAUUUAAAAACCCACGAACAUGUACAUAUUGCUCAAACCACGAAAAUUGACACCCACGAAUUAAAGUACUUUCACAGCAAACCAGCUUUGAUUGUGUGGUUAAAACUGUCUCCCUCUUCAGCUUCCAAACAUACACCAUACGCCGUUUGUAUUCCUGUUCUUCCAUAACCUCCCUCAAACCAUGUCCAUUUAAUGAUUAAUACAGGCCCUCCCUCGAAUGUAACUUGUAAAAAAAAAGCGAAUGCAUUUAAAGUUAAAUUAAUCGCUACUCCGAUAUUGGUCGAUUCUGACUCAUAUCCUCCUUUUCUAAUAAUGAAAUAAAAUUCCAUAGUUCUGAAACGUACGAUGUUUUGUUUUUGUUUACCAACAUUAGAAGUUUAUCUCACUAAUAGUUGUUAAAGUCAUAAGAAACCUCAACUAAAAAUGCUGCAUAUAACUAAAUGGAAAGCUUCCAUUUUAAAACUCAUGUACAUGAUUUUUUUUUUAAAUUAGAAAAUUCUUUAAUUUGUCCAUAUUAAGAAGAAGUUUACCUUUUUUUUAAUUGCUGGCUUCCAGGAAGCAACUCGCCGAAAUAUUUUCCGUAUGCAAGGAACCUAAGCGUGACCUUUUUCGUAAAAAUCCGGGGAUCGUAAUACUCAUGGGUCUGACAUUGAAAUAAACCAUUGAUUAUUAAACUAUGAUUGUACAUGUUAUAUACACGUGCUGAAUAUCCAUGAUUCUUUGUUGAUUAUUUACAAUAAGGUGACAAAUGAUAAACUACGGCUUCAAAACAAGGCAAUUAAUAAGCCGCCAUAAUUGUAAAAUCAUAACAGACAGACUGAAAAUAAAUGACGAUUAUACCAUAUUUUUGCUUAAGAAAUAAAACAAUCGUGCACAGAAGACUAAGUUUAUGAUAUUCACAGACAUUGGUUUAAGACAUAAAUAAACAUUAUUUUUCACGAGUCACUCGUUCCACAUGACUAUAAAAAUACCCUUUAUUUGUACUGCAAUGUCACUUAGGAACUCCGCUAUAAUGAAAAUUAUCAACAAAUAAGAGCAACAGUGGUAUACAGGUGAAGUACACUUAAGCGAAACAUUUUACACUACUAGGGGUCAUUUUAGCGCAGACAUUAGAGCUAAAUAAUUCUCACAUUACUAAAACAUUGAACAGUAAUAUAUGCAGGCUUAAUGUUUAAGUUGCCCACGCGGGAAAGUUCAAUGGUAUGCAAAGCGAUCAAAUAAUGGUCAAGAGUCUUUUUCAUGUCCAGUUUAAAUUCUAGUACCCACCAAGUUAUUUUUCGCUUAAAUGUCCUUUCAAUGCGCCUUGAUGUACUACGCCGUUUAAAAGACAUACAUCGAUUGAGAGAAAACUGAAGUGUUAGCAUAAUCUUUAAUAUCUUGCAUUUUGAGGUAUGGUGAAUAUUCUAAAUAGGAAUCAAUCAGUAAAAUUACACCUUAUACGAACUAAUCUGGCUCGUUAAGUUCUAAAACUGCUAAAAAUGAAACUAGUAAGUUGAACUCAAAUAUAUUAUACGGUCAAUUAAUUAGUGAUACAGACCGUAAAACGUAUGAAGUGUCGAAUAAUAUUUUUUUUUAUAAUUCCUUUGGAGUAAGUUUUUGUUUAAGGAACACACUGCUUCCUUAUGAAUCAAUAAAUUGAGAAAAUGCACUAGUGUAAUUCAUUUAUCAAUUAAUAUAUGUAAACUUUAUAUGGCGGAACAAAGCGAAAAUUACUUCUAAGUGGGACGCUAACACUUACUUCCAAAGCAAAUACAACAGUGGACCUCAAGGAAAAGUUUACCCAAACAGUUGCUUGUUUGUGUUUCAGAUGGUUCUGUAUAAAUUUUGCUAAUCAUGUGAAUAUAAGGUACAACACAAGCGGUCAAAAUAUUCUGAUCUUUUCUAAUGCUUUACAAUUAUAUACCGCUUUGACCUUUGUUCUUCGUGUUCUCACUUGACAAAUAAACAUGCCUAAGUUAUUAUCUCAUGUUUUCGGGUAGCCUUUCAUGAAGAUUAUGAACUAAUACUAGUAAAUGAAUACUGUUCUUCGGUGCUACAACUCUUUUUAAUCGGCAAACACCAGAACACGGUUUUCCAGUUAGUUUAAGAAAGGAUAAGGUUUGGCAUGAUGGUUUAUAACAUAAAAUGGAGGCUUAUGGUAUAAAUGGAAAUAUGUUAAAAUGAAUUAGAAGCUACUUAAGUGAUAGAAAACAAAAAGUGGUUAUCAAGCAAUCUUCUUCAAAACUUUGCAGUAUUUCAGCUGGAGUUCCUCAAGGGUCGGUCCUUGGACCAUUACUUUUUAUAAUAUAUAUUAAUGAUAUUGCAGAAAGACUUAUUUCUCUGUGCAGACUCUUCGCAGAUGACACAUCGUUCAGCUGUGCGGAUCGUGAUGCUUUUCAGAUAGAAACUGUGAUAAACCAUGAUCUGGAAAAGCUGAACGAAUGGUCCAAAAAAUGGUUAAUGUCUUUUAAUCCAGAUAAAACAGAAAUUAUGUUAUUUUCUAAUGUUGAAACCCCAGAAAUGAACUUUAUAUUCAAUGAUAAAAAUAUACCUAUUACAAAUAUUCAUAAACAUUUAGGGGUUACAUUUAGCAAUGAUGCUAAAUGGAAUGCCCACAAUGAUAAUAUUAUCUUAAGCACGUCUAAACAUAUAAAUAUGCUAAGGAAGUUGAAAUAUAAACUGAGCAGGAAAAAUUUAGAAAAACUUUAUUUAGUUUUUAUAAGACCUUUAUUUGAGUAUGCAAGUGAGGUUUGGGAUAAUAUUGGGGUAGGUUAUGUCAAUAAACUGGAGCAAUUACAGCUCCAAGCUGCUAGGAUAGUUACGGGGUUACCUAUAUUCACAAGCUCAAGGGUUAUUUAUGAAGAACUUGGAUGGGAAACAUUAGCUGAAAGAAGAGAGAGAAGAAAAAUCCAAAUGUUUUAUAAUAUUCAAAAUAAUAAUGUUCCAGAAUAUUUGUCAAAUUUAAUUCCCCAAAAAAUACAAAGUAUGACGGUCUAUCCUCUACGCAAUGGCAAUGACAUUAUUCCAUUCUGCAGACUAGCAUUAACUAAUGAUUCUUUUAUUCCAUCAACCAUACGUCUUUGGAAUAAUCUUGAUGAUUCAACUCGUGAUGUGGAAUCAAUUAAUAAAUUUAAAACUGAACUAAAAAACCGUUAUCCUCAGAGUAAUAUAUUUGUACCGAAGCAAUAUGAAUUUGGAAAUCGAAAAUUGAAUAUAAUUCUCACCCAACUUCGAUGUUUUGCAUCAUCCUUAAACUAUGAUCUAUAUAGGGUCAAUAUUAUUUCUGACCCUUCCUUGCCGUCUGGUGUUAAUCGUGAAGAUUCCUAUCAUUUCUUUUUUAAAUGUAUAUUAUAUUCAGACAUACGAAAUAAAAUGUUUGAAAGUCUGCGCUGGCUUCCAAAUGAUUGUAAAAUUAACAUAGAACUACUUACCUCGGGUAGUUGUCUUCUUUCUCUAGAGCAAAACCAAACCAUUUUCAAAAAUGUCUUUGAGUUUAUUAAAAGUUCGGAAAGAUUUCAAAUUGUCUAGAUAGCAAACCAUAAUCGCACACACAUCAUCAUCUAAGUCAAAUUCUUCCCCCUUUUUUUUAUUUUUAUUUUUUUUAUUUUGUAUUUAAUUUUUGUGUUUCUGUUUUCUAAAUAUUCAUUUAUUUAUUUACAUAUUACAAGAUUGAUCGUUUAUAUAGAUAUACAGUGUUAAUUUCCAUUAUUUAACGAGAGCGUAAAUUUUAAAUGAAUAAAUUGAAUGAAAACCACGGUUCCUUGUUUGUGCAUUGUGAUUAAAAAUUCGUAUUUAUAAUUACUUUCAUUUGUUUCCAACUCUGUCUUGUAUUGUUCUGGUCGUACUUUUGCAAAGAUUCCAUUUCAUGACUGCAUCAUGUGUUUCUAUCAGUUUACCAUAGUGCUAUCACAUGGUAAGGUUAGAAAUAAUUGGUAAACCCUAGUUUUAAGUGUUUUAAUGUCUUAUCUUACCCUUUAAAUUUAUUGACAUAACUGCACGAACCGAUUUUCAAUUAACAGUGGUAAGAUAAUCGUUGCAAAGAACUUUUGUGAAAGACGGUUUCAACUUUGAAGUGUUGCGAGAAUUUAUGUUCUAUGUUGAAGGCACUUGUAUAUAGUGACCUGCAAUACAAGUACUGUUCCAUUGAGUUUAGUUAUAUUUCUUCUGUUCUGUCCCUGACCCAUGUUUUCUGUAUUUGGCAUGUGUAGUGCAUCAUGACAUUAAACAUUGUUACAUGUACCGUGAUGAACUUUCGUGCAGAACUGCUUUGUGUAUUUUUGACAUGGACUCUUGACCAGACUAUGACUUUUUGACUCUUGACCUAUGCACUUUGCGUGUGUCAUCAUGAUACAGUGUGCUCCUUUGUUUAUAACCCUGACAUAAAAGUAUAAUUCUAAAUUGACCUUGCUUCUAAAUACAUUUCAUGGACAUGUAGAUAUGGAUAGUCUGUUUAAGCAUCUUAAAAAAUCACACAGAAGGUAUACGCAUAUCAAUAAACUGAACUCAGUGCGAAGAACCUUUAAAGUACACUUAGACAUAGAGCUCAAUCUAGUGAAACACUUUUUUAUACUGGUCAAUAUCUUUUAUCAAACUGCACCGCAAUCCUUAAAAAAAAUAUGCACGUUAAUUCUAAUAGAAGUAGAAUCCAAAGGAAGUAAAUAGACUGUUUACUGAAAUAAAUGUACAAUAUGUCUGUAGGCCACAGAUGCCCCUGCUUGUGAAAAAAAACCACAAGUAAACUUCCACAUAUAGAUGCAGUAUUAACGUAAUGUUUUACUGUUUUGUUACCAUAAGCAUUUUGUAUCAGUUUCAAACAUUUGGUUGUGGCAAACUAAAGUUAAAGAAACAGAAACAACAGAUUUAGCAUUUUUCCUAUCUUAAGGCUACGUGUUGAUAUUUAUUUCAUUAGUACUCGUACCAACUUCUUAUAUCUAAUAACUCAUGAACAGUAACACCACCCAACAUCGAACUUGAUAGAUCUGUUAUGGGGUAAUAAGCAUUACGUAUAAGGUUAAUAACAUUUGAUUGAGUCAAACUUAUUAAAAAGAACGAAAACGAAAAAUUCAGCAUUUUCUAUGUUUUUAAAGGAACAUGAUAACUCAUGGACGGUAAAAGUGACGCUACCAAAUUUCAAUUUUUUUUUAUGUGGAAAUAGGCAUUGUCCCAGGUUAGGGAGAUGGUGGAGACCCCGCUAACAUGUUCAACCCCGCCUUAUUCAGUAUGAUUGUGCCUGUCGCAAGUCAGGAGCCUAUACAUAUUUCCGUAUCUUUUCUCAUUUGAAUUUCGUUUUAUCGUGUGUUUUUCUAUGUUGUGUGAUGUUAUACCAUUGUUUCAUCCCGCUGCAAAUGUUUGCACCUGUUCUAAGUCAGGAAUCUGAUGUACAUGAGAUGUCGUUUGUUUAUGUAACUAAUACGUGUUUCUCGUUUCUUAUAUAGAUGUGUUUUUUAUUUUAUAGAUGUGUUUGUUUAAGUACAAAUUGGAUAAGACACAAGUCAAACAGACUUAUGAAGUCUUCUCCAUUUAACAUUUAUAGCAAUAUAAUACAAAAAUAUAUGUUUGAGCAUGAUUGCAUAUAAUGGUAUAUCUAUUUAGUAUAUGAAUAUAAAAAUAUGGAUCAAAAGACGGAAAAUUGAAGAAAAAGAAAAUAAUACUAAUAGAGAAAACAAAAAAAUAUAUAUAAAUAUACUAAAUAAAUAACACACAUGCAUUUUAUUAUAGAAAUAUUCAAUUUUAAUUUUGAUUUGAUUAUUUUGGGCCUAUAAUGAUUAUAUGCAUGCCUUUCACAAGUAGUAUCAAAUCUGACAUUAUUACAAAGCAGCUAUUAAAUAAAAUUCAUUCGAACUUUAAAUGUGCAAUCAAAUGUAUAUGCAAGUCGUCAACUGGUCAAGUGGCUAGAUGCAUAUUUCGUUGGCCAAUUGAACGACAGGUCCUAAUUUUGUUGUUUUAAAACUUCUAGAAAUAUUAACGGAAUAAGUAAAUUAUUAGUACAGGUAAAUAAAUUAAAACAGAACGACUGAAUUAAAUAAAAGGAUGUUCGAUAUAAUCAGAGACAUAUAUACACAUGUGUAUAUAUGUCUCUGAUAUAAUAUAUAUUUCGUUUUAUUUUUAAAAUCUAAACGAUGCUUUCUUUUUAUCUAGUUUCCUAAUCAAAAUUAUUAGAAUGAGAAAAUAAAUACCUUACAGCUUCUUUUACCGUCGAUCCUGAAAUGUUUAUUAAUGUUAAAAAAACAAUUUUAGCGUCUUUGACCUACUUUAUCUUUUUAUUCGGAUACUUACGGUUAUCUUCUCUAAGUUCAACGGGGACAUUAGAAUAAUCUAGAAUAGAACCCAGAUGGAACUAAGAAGUCAGGUUGCUAUAACCAGAGACAUAUAAUACAAGAGAUUGGCAACUGGCCACAGACCACAAUUAAUUUCUCUAUUAGUUCUUUAUAACUUUUUGUCUCAUUAAAACAAUUGGACCUAAUCUUUUUGUCAAAUUUUUGGUGUGUGUAAUGUAUAGUACUAGUCCAAAAACAUAUCCAAAAUUCAGAAAGAUUGCUCUGAUGUAACUUACAAAUUUAGCCAAUACACAUCCAUACCCCUAUGGACAAGUCAAGAGAUGUUCCGAAAACAGAAAAUAUUACCUUUUUGCACUUGACCUAAUCACUCUUUCCAUAUUAAAAUCAGUUAAAAUACCUUCAACAAAAAGUUAUUUCACCUCUCUUCUUUCAUUUCCACCCCAUAAAAACUAACAAAUGAACGAAAAAGGCAAAGAAAAAAAAUAAAGAAAAAAUACACUAUAAUUAAGGGGAACUAUAUUCGUGAACAACGAAAAGCGGGGUCAUUAAUUGUGGUCUUGGGCCAACUCGGCGAAAUCCCGUGAUUUCACUCGGCCAGAUUUAAAUCUCGCGAGAUUUAUGUGGUUAAUAGAGUCUUUAUCAAAGUAUUAAAGGUACUCGAAGAAAUGGUGAAGUUGAAGCAUGAAUUAACUGUUUCAGUGUUAAAUUUAACAUAAUUAAUUGAAUAAUUUUAGUUCAUACGUAAUUAUGUAUUUCAAUGUCAUUUUAAUUUUGAUUAUUUGUAUUAUUGAAAAAGAGACAUUAUUUGAUAUUGUAUUAAAAAUACGAUAUUAAAUAAUUAAUACGUAAUAAAUUGUAUGUCUUGUAUCAGAGUUAAUUUUAUUUGAUUGUUUCAUAAUGGGUUUCUAUUAAAUAUACACCUGUCUCGGACACAUAAUGUCACAGUGUGACAUGUAUAUUCGGAUUGAAUUAUCCGAUGGUCAGGUAAAUCACAACCUGUUAAAAUGAGUUUUAUUUGACACCUGGUACACACGAAGUAGUUACACCACAGGUGUACAACACUCCUUCCGAAAAUAUUAUUUACAAAUAUAAUACAUGUAUUAUAUGUCUCUGUUACAAAUUAUAAAAUUAAAUAAUGUGUAGAAAAAAAAAACUUAAUUUGUUUGAUAAAUAUCGUUUAUCAUGAUCGACUUUGUCUUAUAUUUAUAAUUUGUAUAGAUCAUUAAAAAAUGAUUACUUUCUGGGUUCAUUAUUAAUUUGGCUUGUAUUGGGUUGAUUUUUUUAUGAUUGUCUGUAAACUGUGUUCUAAAUGUGUUUUUCGAAAUAUUAUGAGCUUGCAUUCAGUUGUUUUUAUGAUUGUCGGUAAAUUUAUGGUUUCUCCUUUUCACGGAUUGUGUAUUUAGUUAGGACUUACAUUUAAUGAUCAUUUAAUAGAAAAUUGCAAUACAAGUCUCACUUUUGACCUCGAAUAUAAAGGGAUUAACCAUAUUGUAAGCGUAAUGUACAUGUUUCCCUUCUUUUUUUACUUUUAGACUAGUUAAAAUCUCCUUUUAAAUUUUGAAACAGACAUGGACAUGUGUGAAUGUGUUAAACAACAUUUUGACUUGAUUUUUAGUUAAAACCAUUUUUUUUACUUGAUACAAACUGCACGAAAAUGUGUCUUCCUUUGUUGUUGAUCAGGCUGAUUUAAUUGAUGCUUGCUUAACGUCCAGUGGCAAAUAUUUCAUUUUUUUUGGUUGUUGAUCAGGUUGAUUUAAUUGAUGGUUGCUUAACGUCCAGUGGCAAAUAUUUCAUUUUUUUUUUUACAUAUUGAUGUGCGAGUGUAUGACAUUCAUUUUUUUCUGUACAGUAUAUGCAAUAUAAUGUCUAACUCUCCACAAGAAACCAAAUGAUUCAGAUAUCAACAUUUUAAGGUGACAAAAAGGCUCUAAGCAAUGCGUAAAAUUCAUAUUGCACUGUCAACUAUACAAGGUCUAUUAAAGAAAAAGGUUUAACACAUCAAACAAGAAAACUCACUGUCUUAUUUAUGAACAAAAUAAUAAGAAAAAAAAUCCAAAUAUGAUAUAUACAGCAACACACCAGUGAAUUACAGACUCCUUACUUUGGGAAAGCACAUACAUAAUAAAGGCAUGAUAAUAGAUUUAAAAUUAAUCACAAGCCAUACAAUUUUAUAUCGUGUUUGUUGUUUUUUCCCCACAGUAAUCAUAUUAAUAAAACCUAUAAACCAAUUAAUGUGGUGUGGCGUUUGAAUAAACCAAAUUAAAUCUGUAAAAAAACCACCUACAUACAUCCCAGUAUAUUCUGAAAUGAAAAGGACCAGUCAGACUGAGAAUCAGAACAUGUACAUGUAUUUAUGUAUACAAUUUAUCUAGAAUAUCACUACACAUGAUUCCAUCCCUUUUUCAAUAACUAAACCAAAAUGUGAGAGAACAAAAACAAUUCCAGGUAUAAAUAAUAUUAUUAUCAAACAUUUAUUCAUAAUGUUACUGUCAAUGAUAACUGAGAGUUUUAUGAUCAUUUCCCUGCAACUGAUCUGGUACAGUUCAACUAUGCAAAUUUCGGUAUCUGUACAGCUAAGGAUAUAUACAUGUAUCAGCGAUGGUAUCUUGUAAUAAAUUGCAUACAGUGAAAGGGAGAUAGCAAGAUUCUUCAUCUUUAUUGUGUGUCUCAUUCACUGCAAAUAUCUCAAUUUCUUGUGCAAUCAGUUGCUCUGUGCCUUUCACUGGUGCUAGAAAAUGAAACAGCAUGACAAUAAAAUUUAAGCGUUCAUAUUUUUUUCAUUCUCUUUCCAUCUUCAGUGUGGAUUGAAACUGGAACAGAUAUCUCCUCCAUACUGGUACCAACAGCUGUUCAUGGUCGAGGAUUACUCUCUUUUUAACUCCAUUUGUUAAUUUCUACAUCUUUUCCUUUUUGGCAUUCUAAAUUUAAAAAAAAAGAUAGAGUUGAAUAGACUAUUUGUCUUACUUGUAAACUUUACUUCCUACAUGUAUGUCAUACAACAUUCUUCGGUUUUUAUUAUGCUAAAUCAGAGACAUAUAUUGUAUUAUAUGUCUCUGGCUAAAACUAUUUUAAAUUUCAUUUUGUCAUGUAUAGACCUUUCAAGCUUGCUAAAGGUACACAUUUUUGAUAUGUUUGUCAAUUGUUAAAGGUGGUACCGUGAACAUACAAUGUAAGUUGCUGACAUCAACGUUAACUUUAUUUAGUCUCUGCUUCUACAUAUUUUGUAGGUCUCAUGAGGGGGUUUACAAAAGCAUAACGGACUGAAAGUCACAGGACAUAAAGUCACAAAUUUAGUAGAACAAAAAGUCACAAGACAAAAAAAUCCCAAAUAAUCUUUUGAUAAUUGUUUAUAUAUAUAAGAGAAAUAUCUUUAAAACAUAUAUUCAUAUUAAAGUUACGAAAUGUGUUAUUAUAUUUGAAAAAUGAAGAUUUAUUAAAUUUUGAUAAUACAAAAGAAAGACUUAUAUGCACCAUGAAACCAUUUAAGUGCCAAACCAGUUUGACAUUUUGUUUUUUGUAACAAUUAUUUGAUCAUCUUUGAUAUGUUGUUAUAAUUUUUGUAUACAAAGUUGGUUGCGAAAGGAGGAUUGGUGGAAUAAAAUUACGGUUAUAACGCGUGCUUUAAGGUUCAUUAGUUUUUUGUCGAGUCGAUUGCGCGCAACGCUUUUGAAUUUGUAACAUUUGGAACACCGCAAAUAUUUUGUACAGGCUGAAGAUGUUGCUUACUUUUAUGAAUGAAUACAUAAAUGUACAUAUAUGGGGAAAGAAAAUAAAAACAGACGUGUAAACAACUAUACGAUAACAAUAUGUAUAUCUAUUAUAAUGCUAACCCUGUAUUAAAUGGGACGAAAUAAUAAUCGAUUAGUAUCUGUUAAUAUUUGCUUCGUAAAAUUAAGAUUAUGACAUUGAAUUUAUGUUACAUUUUUGUCAUCAUUCCGAAAGAUUUUUGAAACUCUUGUAUCAGCUGUUCUAACAUAAAAGGCAGUGUAUAUCACAUCAGACAAAUAGAUAAAUAGAGUUAUUGAGUUAAGCCUUCCAAUUGAUAUUUUAUCGUGUGUUUUUCUAUGUUCUGACGAUAUAUUAUUGUUUCAGAAAAAGGGUGAAGGUUUGGUACCAUUAAAACGUUUAAUCCUGCUGCAAAUGUUUGCACCUGUCCUAAGUCAGGAAUCUUAUGUACAGUAGUUGUCGUUUCUUUAUGUGAUUUAUACGUGUUUCUCGUUUUUUUAUAUAGAUUAGAGCGUUGGUUUUUCCUUUUAAAGGGUUCUACACUAGUAAUUUUGGGGCCCUUUAUAGCUUGUUGUUCGGUGUGAGCCAAGGCUCCGUAUUGAAGGCUGUUUAUUGACCUAUACUGGUUUAUUUUUAUAAAUUGCUAUUUGGAUGGAGAGUUGUCUCAUUGGCACUCACACCACAUCUUCCUAUAUCUAUUCGGAAAACAAAGAUUAACAAUAAAAAAUGAACGACAAAUGUUUGUCUUUUAAGAUAUGAAAAAACUUUACCUAGCACUGAGGACGAAACAUAAAUACUAAAUACCACAAACCCCUAUUCACUGGACGUGUUUAUCUAUUCUAUGGAAGUUAUUUCCUUCUGUCUUAUUAUCGAUCUCAUCAUGGUGCCAUGAUUGCCAUUUUAUGACUAUCUUCAUAAAUUUAUAUGACAUGUAACUGUGGUAUUACGACUUACGGAAAACCGUGUCAAUAUUAAAUUAUGUUGCACAGUUUGAAAAUGUAAGGGAGAUGAUAUUAGUGUAAAUUGUACAUUGUAAACGAUGUUAAAAUUUUACGGAAUGGCAGGAAACAGAAAAUAUAUAAAUGUAACCAAGUUGAAAUAUGGUACGCAAUACAUCUCUAAAAAGAGAUACAAAAAUACCUUAUGCAAAUGUCAAAAAUGAAAAAAUAUAAAAACUGGCAAACUUUUACGAUAGACAUCGAAGGAACAAGUAAGAAACGACUACCAUAUUCCUGUCUUUUGGAAUGGCAUUUCCCAGAGAAAAUGGUAGGUUGAACCUGUUUGUAAAGCUAGCUAAAUAUCCUACUUGUAUUACAAUUUUUAACAUUUUCGUUAUAUCAAAACAAUCACAAUAGGUUAUUGUGACAAUAAAUGCAUAUAAAUAAACUCAUCAUAGAUACCAGGACGAAAUUAAGUAUAUACACCAGACGCGCAUUUCGUCUACAAAAGACUCAUCAGUGACGCUCGAAUCCAAAAAAGUUAAAAAGGCCAAAUAGAGUACGAAGUUGAAGAGCACGAUAUUGGAUCCAGCAGUCAAAACUGUAUAAACGAAAAACAAAAAAACAACUGACCAACAAAUUUAAUUUUCAGUCAAUAGCUAUUUACAUGUAAGAAUGUUUUUAUGUUGUAAUGUCACGCUGAUGUUUCAAGAGAGGAUUAAGGUUGGUGCCUGGAAAAACGUUCAAACAAGCUGCAAUAUCAUGCACCUGUUCUUAGUCAGGUGCCUGAUGUUCAGAGGUUGUCGUUUAUUGGUGUGGUCAUGCGUGUUUCUCGUUUUUGAUAUAGAUUAUACCGUUGAUUUUCCCGUUUGAAUUAUUUUACACUGGUAAAUUGUUAGGGCCUCUUAUAGCUUGCUUGAUGUGAGCCAAUGCUUCGUGUUUAAGACCGUACUUUGACUUAUAAGGAUUUUCUUUUAUUAAUUGUGACUUGGCACUCACACCACAUCCUCUUAUAUCUAUUUUGGAGCUCUGUAUAAUUUGCUGUUCGGUGUGAGCCAAGGCUCCAUGUUGUUUAACCUAUAAUUGUUAACGUGUUAUACAUUGUAACUUGGAUGGAUAGUAGUGUCGUUGGUAAUCAUACCAUAUAUGAAUCGACAGAUAAAAAACAACGACCUCAAUAUACAUAGUUUACCACUUGAAAAAAAGAAAAAAAAAUGACAUUCAAGACAAACACUCAGAACAUUUAGGAUCGAGACGCGUUUAAAUUGUUCUAUUUCCAGUCAAAUAAUUAAGUGAACACCUGCAAGUCUUUUUUUGUAGCCCACGACAGUCUUAUUUCUAUGUGGUGGCAUCGAAAACAGUUAAAUGACUGAUAACUUUUUUUUUUAGAAAAAUAUAAGUUAUGGUCGUUUUCAAAUUUUGGUUACAAUGUCGCCUUUCGUUUUUUUUUAUAAAUGUAUAGAACAAUAUACAUAUAGUUGGGGCCAAUUAAACAGUAUAUUAGCGUCAAACAAACAAAUAUAACAGAUGUGUUACAACAACUUUACAAAUAUUUAACAGAUGUGCCUUCUGAUGAGAUGAUAUCCACUGAAAUACAACUUCUGCCAAAUCAAAAUAUAUCAUUUAGAGCGGAAAUUG